AUCUCGGAAGGAUUCGAUUCCGGUGGCGAAGGCGAAAUCGGAUAAGGUCAUCAUAGAUUUCGAUUUGUUUUUUUCAUAGGGCCUAGUUAGUGGAUAAAGAUUUGAUAGAUUUCGAUUGACGGAAGUUUUGCUAGGUCACUGGUUUCGCGACGGUUUCGGAAAGAAGCGACGGAGGAUGGCAACCGGAGGCGUAUAUCGGCUGGAACAAAGCUUUACAAACCCGGAGCAAUUGAAGAGUGUGAACCCUAAGACUUUGAUACCUCUUCUCUUCUCUCUCUCUUCAAAGAUAUCUCUCUUCCCUCUACCUCAAUUCCAAUCCAAGAUUCGCCGUUGGUGGUCCUUAUCACCACCGUUAUCCUCCGCUUAGCCACCCUGAAGCUUCGUCUGUUGCUCUGCUAAACGUCCAACUGUCUAUGCUUCUCUGAGCCUUUCUACAUUGGGGGAACAAUUAGAACAACUCUCGGAAGAGAAGACCGUAUGGAUCGAGCCAAUGGACGGUGAGGCAAAAGGCGUAUGUAGAGGCGUUGAAUCUGGAUACGAUGUUUACUCCGCAGCUUGUAGUUCAAGGCUGUUCUCAAUUGAUCGGAAACGAGGAAGAGACGCUGUUAAAAUCAAUCUCCGAAGCGCCUAGGUUUCCUUCUCCAGCUUUCCGGGCGACUUUCCAGAGACCAACCUCAGAGACACUGCAAGUAUCACUCACCGGAGCUUUGAGAAUGAAAGUAGAUGGAAACGGAAUGGACAUAAUUGUGGCGAUAUACGACAUCGUUCUAGAAUAAGAGCCUUGAAAGCCCCUGACUGAUCAUGAAUUGUCUUUUGACAAGCGAAAUGCUUGUGCUUGUGUCAUGGAUCCUUGGUUAUUGUGGCUUUAGCCUCUGGUUAUGUGGUGUAGGCCUUAGAUGUGUUUUAUGAGUUUUGUGUUUGUUGCUGGAUUAGAUUUUUCAAAGCUUAGCCCUGCAGGUAGUGUUGUUAUUAAUUGAAGUGAAAAUAGUGUUUAUCAAAGUUUUCAUGUAUCAUUUCACAUUUAAUCAAAUAGGUAACUCAAAUGGUUGUUUUCUGCCUCAUUUCCUCUGCAUUUCCUGUAACAGCUUGAUUCACUUGGUUCAAUGGCUUGAAUUCUUUGAAUUUCAGACAUGUGCUCUUUUUGUUAACAUUUGUUGGCAAGAUCUCUUGACUCUUUAUUUUUUGUAUGGCUGGCAUGUUCACGCGUUUUAAAUUGAUUCAAGCGUUUCCUGGGGAAUAUAAGAAUCUUUAUUUUGGAUCUAAUACGAUUUUUGAAGAAUCUGGGCUUGCUAAUUCUUUGGUUUCGGUUACUUGGGUCUGAAGAAGGUCUUUGUUUUUUUUGGAUCUGUGUAAUUAGGAAAAAAAAUUGUAGCGAUUUCUGCUUUUGUUUAUGUUCGCUUACCGAAAUCGAGAAUCGAGAAUCGGAAUUAGGUAUAGGCUUUCGAAAGGUCGAAUCUUGUAAAAUCGAAACGGAGAAGGAGAAGAAGAAUAAGAGGACAGAGAAUUGGUUAAGUAGGGAAAUACUAACAAUUAAAAUAUCUUUUGGUUUCUUAAGACAAUGUCGUGUUCUGUUUCACAACAAUUAUCAUGAAUUUUAUCACAUUUCAACCAAAAA